CGCCGCCCCCCGACUCAAGCUUUCUUUUCUUGGGCUGCGACAUCUUGGCGGCUCCGACCGACUCCCAGCGGGCGUUGCGCCGCUCCUCGCGGCCUCCAGGAAGCGGGGGCUUCUGGGACUUGUAGUGCGCGCCGGCACCUCCCACUUCCUGGGGGUUCGCAGCACAGGUGCCAGCUAGAAGCCUCCGAGCUCUACUCAACUCUUUUAAUUGCUCCUUGGAGUGGUCUACUCACCACAUCCAUUUGAUGCUCAAUCCCAAUGUCUUUCAAAUGAAUGGAUCUUCAAAUUGAUUUAAUACAUCUUUACCAGCAUUAAAAAAAAAAAAAAAGAAGAAAUAGAAAAUCUCAAGUACAUGAAAUGAGUACAGGUAUAUAUCCUGGUAAUACCAUAAAAAGAUUCAGUGAACUUCCUGUACAUCUGAUCACACAGUAUGUGUUCCCUUGUGCCUAAUUUCUUUUGCUCACCAUUAUGGUUGUGAGAUUCAUCCCUGUGACUAUGUGUAGAAGUAUUCUCUUCACUUUCAUUGCUUUAUUUUAUAAUAUUCCAUUGUAUGAAUAUACCAUAAUUUGUUUAACUGUUUCUGCUAUUGUACAGAUCCUCUGAGGUGGAAAUAAUCAUUCCUACAAGGAAUUUUGUAGUGUUAUUUUUUCUUGUACAGUUCUUUUGACCCUUAAAGUUUUCUACUUUAUAUAAAUAACUUAUUUUUAUCAUCCUAUUAUAUAUUAAGUGCCUAAUAAUAGUUAAAACUUAUU